GUGAGGACGACCUCACCUCUCCCACUCAUCGGGGACGGCCCCA
rnacentral:ncRNA from 1 species